CAGAGAACAUCGCCCUCGCGGGUGACUCUCCAACCCUGUGUUAAUGCUGCCUUUGUUGCUUUGGCGAGCCGCCUCGUGCCACCGGCCACUCCAGGCUGGUGAGUGCUCGCCAGAGAACCCUCAAACCCUGAAUAUUAGUGUCGUCUGAGUACUAUAUAAUAGUUA
rnacentral:misc_RNA from 1 species